AUGAUAAUCAUGGCCUGGAACUGCCGGGGAUUGGGGUUGGACUUGGCAGUUGGCGAACUCAGGGACCUGAUUAGGUCAUACAACCCAGCGGUGGUGUUCUUAUCGGAAACCAAAAAGAGGGCGGGAGCGAUGGACAGACUCAAGUGGAGUUUGGGGUUUAGCAAAGGUGUAGCGGUGGACUGUAAGGGAAAGAGUGGUGGUCUUGCUCUAUGGUGGAGAGACCAUGUCGAGGUUACUGUUAGGCCGUGGUGUCAAUAUUACAUCGAUGCGACCAUGGUCUGUGAUGGUGUCUCCUUUAGGUUCACUGGAAUCUAUGGAGAACCGUGCAUUGAGAAAAGAUCAAAGACCUGGGAGGUCAUGCGUUAUCUCCAUGCUCAAGACAACCUCCCAUGGAUCUGUGCGGGUGAUUUCAACGAAGCACUACACCAUGACGAGCAGCAAGGAGGUAACCCGAGGAGUAGGGCGCAAAUGAAAAUGUUUGAAGAAUGCCUCACCGACUGCGGUCUGGCAGAUCUUGGUUUCUCGGGGUAUCCGUUCACAUGGGAUAACAAGCGGGAUGCGGAUGAUAAUAUACAAGUGUGGCUAGACAGGGCGACAUGCAAUGCAGACUUUGCCCAAGCUUUCCCAGAAACGGAAGUGCUACAUGUGAUGACAGAAGAGUCAGAUCACCAAGCGUUAAUUAUCAAAGCACUAAUGACUGGGGAGGAGCGCCUGGGCGAGAGGCCAGCGCCGAUUUAUUGA
rnacentral:rRNA from 1 species